UACGUAGGGGGCAAGCGUUGUCCGGAUUUAUUGGGCGUAAAGAGCGUGUAGGCGGCUAGGACAAGUCACUUGUGAAAUCUCCGGGCUUAACUCGGAACGGUCAAGUGAUACUGUCGGGCUAGAGUACAGAAGGGGCAACUGGAAUUCUCGGUGUAGCGGUGAAAUGCGUAGAUAUCGAGAGGAACACCUGCGGCGAAGGCGGGUUGCUGGGCCGACACUGACGCUGAAGCGCGAAAGCUAGGGGAGCAAACGGG
rnacentral:rRNA from 1 species